AAGCGCGCGUAGGCGGUUUUUUAAGUCUGAUGUGAAAGCCCACGGCUCAACCGUGGAGGGUCAUUGGAAACUGGAAAACUUGAGUGCAGAAGAGGAAAGUGGAAUUCCAUGUGUAGCGGUGAAAUGCGCAGAGAUAUGGAGGAACACCAGUGGCGAAGGCGACUUUCUGGUCUGUAACUGACGCUGAUGUGCGAAAGCGUGGGGAUCAAACAGGAUUAGAUACCCUGGUAGUCCACGCCGUAAACGAUGAGUGCUAAGUGUUAGGGGGUUUCCGCCCCUUAGUGCUGCAGCUCACGCACUAAGCACUCCGCCCGGGGAGUACGACCGCACGNUUGAANCUCAGAGGAAUUGACGGGGACCCGCACAAGCGGUGGAGCAUGUGGUUUAAUUCGAACCAACGCGGAGAACCUUACCAUAUCUUGACAUCCUCUGACCCCUCU
rnacentral:rRNA from 1 species